ACCGUAUACCGUCACGACGCCACCACCACUUUCCUCCUCGCCGCAGGCAGUCCAACCAUCUCUCUCAGCUUCAUCUUCCUCUUUCCCUUCUUAGAUUGACACCUCUUCCUCUCCUGAUCAGGAUUGACUCACGACGCAUCUCCUCAACCUCCUCCCUUUGGGUAAGAAGAGGAACGAGAAAGGAGAGGUGACGAGUUGGUCUUGUUUUCUAGGGUUUCAGAGUAGUAGCGGCGGAGGGAGGCAAGAUGAAGACGACUAGAGGGAAAGGUGAUACUAAGUUCCACUGAUCAAGACGAUCAAGACGAUCAAAUCGUACCUUUUAUUUCUAAAUUCUAAGUUUACAGGAACCUCACCGCUGCCCUCUUUCCUCUCUCCCUCUUCAUCAAAUUCUAAGUUUUCAAUCUUCUUUUUUUCGAGGAUCUCGACAUCUCGUCACGGAGGAGACCAGAAAAGCGAAGCCCAAGGCUGGCACUUCCCUUUCCCGAGCCGCCGUCAGUGUAAGUUCCCACCUCUCGAGCCGCCGUCACUUCCCUUUCCCGAGCAGCUCAAUCGGCCAAAGCAUGCCCAGUCUCCGACGCCACCCACCGCGAUCCUCGCUGCCUCAGCGCCAUCAUCUCCGGCCUCGCCCUCGACGGUCGCCCGCUGGAAGCUCUUCGCCUCUUCAAAUGGUUCCAGACCUCCGCCCUCGACCCCGACGAGUUCACCCUCUCCAAUGCGCUCUCGCUCUCCGCCAAUCUCAGCGCGCUGGACCAGGGAAGGCAGAUCCAAGCUCUCGUCUUCAAGAAGAAUCUACCCAUGGACGUCGCCGCCACCAACUCGCUCAUCAAUCUCUACUUCAAGUGCGGCAGCAUCGCCGACGCGGAGAAGGUGUUCGACGGUGCCAUCUACCAGGCCAGAUAUGGUUGAAGUUGUGAACAUACUAGAGAUGAUCAGAUGCCCUCAGGAUAAUCCGGAAGAGGAGCUUUCUUGACGGUUUGGUCCACAAUCUCUGCGACAUAAACCGGUUAUAUGGUAGAUACCUAGAAUGAUGAACUAGCAUGGUAGUUGGAUUUGGUUUGCACGAAAUGAAAGUAGAAAAAGAAGGCCUAGCUGCUACAGAAUAGCUUGACUAACAAUUUGCAAGCCAGAAAUCCUUGUGAAAGUUAAUCGAGGUUUUUCCCUUUCUCUAGUAUUAGUGUGCUGCUGCAAGGUGGAUUACAUUCACCAGGCCCAAGUGAUGCGAUCAUUCCAUUCAUCUUGUAGCAAUUACCAGGAACUCUAAGUUGCAUGUUUAAUUAAAUCUGAAAGGUCUUACUAGUAUUCAAAUAUUGUUACCUCAUGUUUCUCCUUCCUUGUUCAGUUCUUGCAUAUGUAGAGGAUUGAGAUUGUGAAAGUUGGUGAAGUUCAUAUAGAGAAUGCAAGUCUCCAUAGAAGAAGGAGAAGGUAAAGCGCAAGAGCUCGGUGUCAUGUUUAUCAAAACAAGCGCAAAAGCUGGCUUCAAUAUAAAGGCUCUCUUUCGAAAGAUUGCGGCUGCCUUGCUCGGGAUGGAAACCUUUCUCCUCCAUGUUGCUUAGAUUUAUGAGGAAAGUGAAAGUGAGGAUGAUGGUCUUGACAUGGGUGAUGAUGAUGAUGUUGAGGAACUUGAAAAUGAAUCAGAGGCUGUUAGGAAAGAACCAACCAUUGAGAAACCUGCUCCUGUUUCAGCAUCAUUUGUUGUUUGCCUAUUGAAAAUUGAUGUCUUGGACGGAAUGCUUUCUUGCAUUUCUGUGUUCGGAGUUGCUAUGAAGAAGGUAAGCUGCAAUGCAACUAAUAUUUUUUUUUGAAGGUUCUUAUCUAGGAUGUUGACUUGCAACCAAAUAGUCAUCCUAUGUUGGGAGCUAAUGGAUCCUGUCCAGAUUUGAUAUUGACAGAACAUUAACUGAAUGUGGAAUUUGCACUAGCUGUGUCCUACUGAGCCUUUUGUGCUUUCUAGAGGUCCUUACUUGUCUCUUUAAGAAUUUGCAUAGGUUGAUACAAACAAAUCUUAAUGAAGUAUUUAUGUCUAUACGUCAUAAUAUAUGGACACUUUUUUAGUUUCAUCUUAUUCUAUUUUACUUUUUUUUUUCUAAUAACAUACUCUUUGAUGCAAGGUCGAGAAAGCUCAUACUACCGACCUUCAUUGUGUGGACUGGAACCCUCAUAAUCAAAAUCUUAUUUUGACUA